CCGAUAAAAGGCAACUUUAAGCAAUACAAAAUUUACCGGCGGCAGCUACCGACGGCAGUUGAAAAUACCGGAUCUUCACAAUUUUUAUCGGUAAAAAUCCGGUAAUUACCGGAGAACGGGAACACUGAUGCAAUGUCAUUAUUUAGCGUUGACACAAUUUCUAACUACAUUCCAGAUUGCUUCUCUUU